AAACUAGAGCUCAUAUACUUACAAUUCAAAAAUUUAAUUAUGUCGAGAAUCAUAUUUUUUUGUUAGUCUAUAAAAGAAAUACAUAAUUUUGAGCUCGAUUUUUUCUUCAUUUAUACCUUUAACUCUUAACUUAAACUACAUUAUGUGCUAUUGUAUCCGUUUUAUUAUAUUAUUUAAGUUAUUAAUUUUAAAAAAAGCUAUAUCUCAUUGAAUAAAUUGGAAACUAUCCCAUACUGACAACAGGAAUUUAUUUUAAUUUUAUUUAUAAAAAGUAUUUGAUCGUAGUAUAUGUCAAAAUUGAAAUAUCUUUUUAUGUAUAAUUAAUCACAAUAGAAAAGUAGAGAAAUGAAAAUUUUAACAUGUCCGUCUAUAUAUAUACCCUAAUAAUAAAUAAAUCAAUUUAAAUAUAAUAUGAAAACUUGAGCACCUCAAAAAAUUGAUCGUACUAUGGUUGUUGUUGUUUGUGUGAAUUAGUGGAAAAUCAUUCAAGUUGAAGGGCCAUGGCUACCAUAUGUUGGUAGUGAAUCAGAAUAAAUUCUUGAAUUAAUCUUUGUAUCACUUAAACUCUUUUCUUUUUUUAUUUGUUUUAUUUAAAGGAAUUUCAUUAUAAUUUGAACUCCCAUUUCUUAUAUUCCUCACUUUGUUCAGUUAACGUUAGAGGUUGAGAUAAUCAUGUGAGAGUAAAGAUGCUUCUGUGAAAUAGAUGUAUGGUAUGGUUCUGGUGAUGAAAGUUCUGAUGGAUCUGUUAAGAAACCUCCUUUAUUAUUUGACGGAAAAAUCAUACUAAAUCAGCAUCAAUAUAUAGCACAUAAUUCAACAUUUACAACAUCAAUCAUCAUCUUAAACAUACAAAAUAUGCUAGGAUGUUUGAUAUAUAUGUUGGACCGUGAACCCGUAAUUUCUCAUUUCUAAGUACAUGUGUAUUAGUUUCACCACUAAACUCUUGAUAACUAAAAAAAAAAAUCAACCUUAUUUUAUAAGUAUUAUGAUGCUUCUAUAUUUCUAGACCAUUUGAUCUUGUUGCCGAAAUACACACACACACACACACUUGUUAACCACAAUUAUUGAAGCCAUAACCAGAAUCCUUAGGAAUGUCAAUGUUGUACUUAAAUGUGACUGGAGGGUUGUCAUGGUGAUAUGCUAUGACAGUCUCUGGUAUCCAACCAUCCGUGCCGUUCCUAAAUAGAUACAUUUUGCAUAUUUUACCAAUACAUGGUCCCAAUAUCUCAAAAUCCAUCGUGGUGCAUUGCUCGAACGUCGUCCCAGAAUCAGGAUCGUCCAAUCUUGGUACAUAAACCUGCAAUUAUUAUAUGUAUAGAUAUAUAAUUUUUUUGUUGGCAACUAACAAAUAUUAAUAAUUAGGGUGUAAUAUUAUUUGCACAACAAAAAUUAAGGAGCAACAUAAACAUGUAUAGAUAUAUGAUUAAUUGUUUGUGGUAUAGAAAGGAACCUCAGAGCCAUCAGCAUCUCCAAAUAAAAUACUGAUUUCAUCUUUUGUAGAUAAAGGAGAUUUGCAGCUUGUUGCUAUGGUCACCUUGUAAUCGCAGUUACCACUCCGUUUAGUCUCAUUCUGAAACAUGCAUAUAUAACCUUUUAUUUAAGAUGCAUUAAUUAAAAUAUGAAAUUAAUAAUAAAUCAUUCAUCCAGUGACUAAACUUUACAGGGAAAAGGGACAUUGAAAAUUGAUUUACUUGUUGUUGGGUAUGAAUAAGCAUGGAUGAUUGGUUCAUUUGAGGUUGAGUGCGAAUGAUCAAUGUUGGUGUUGCAUGUGUGAAGGCAACGAUGAUGAUGAUGAUGAUGGAGAAUGUGAAGAUUAAGGUUAGAAGAGUUUUCAUGUUUUUGUGCUUCAAGAGAAUAGAAUGAGCAUUAGAAAGGCCAGGAGCAAUAUUUAACUAAACCAUGAAAUGCUAACACUAUACUAUAUACUCUUUUAAAAAAUAUAUUAAUAAAUUGUAUGUCUUCUAAAACUUUGUAUGGCUUCAUGGAAAUGUAAUCACUAAUACCUUUGCAUAAAUGAAAGAUCACAAGUCACGACUAAUUGUUGGU
rnacentral:lncRNA from 1 species